AAAGAAACUAACWAGGAUUCCCCUAGUAACUGCGAGUGAAGCGGGAAAAGCUCAAAUUUAAAAUCUGGUGGUCUUUGGCCAUCCGAGUUGUAAUUUAGAGAAGCGUCUUCCGCGCCAGACCGUGCAAAAGUCUCCUGGAAUGGAGCGUCAUAGAGGGUGAGAAUCCCGUCUUUGGCAUGGAUGCUUGGUGCUUCUGUGAUGCGCUCUCGAAGAGUCGAGUUGUUUGGGAAUGCAGCUCAAAAUGGGUGGUGAACUCCAUCUAAAGCUAAAUAUUGGCGAGAGACCGAUAGCGAACAAGUACCGUGAGGGAAAGAUGAAAAGCACUUUGGAAAGAGAGUGAAACAGUACGUGAAAUUGUUGAAAGGGAAACGCUUGAAGUCAGUCGCGUCGACCGAGACUCAGCCUUGCUUCGGCUCGGUGUUCUUCUCGGCUUGACGGGUCAGCAUCAAUUUCGUUCCUCGGAUAAUGGCAAGGGAAAGGUGGCACCCUUAUGGGUGUGUUAUAGUCUCCUGUCGCAUGCGAGGGGUGGGAUUGAGGAACUCAGCACGCGCCUCUUGGCGUCGGGGCUUCGGUCUACGUUACGUGCUUAGGAUGUUGGCGUAAUGGCUUUAAACGACCCGUCUUGAAACACGGACCAAGGAGUCUAACAUGCCCGCGAGUGUUCGGGUGGAAAACCCGUGCGCGUAAUGAAAGUAAAAGUUGGGACCUCUGUCGUGGAGGGCACCGACGCCCGGACCAGACCUUCUGUGACGGAUCUGCGGUAGAGCGUGCAUGUUGGGACCCGAAAGAUGGUGAACUAUGCCUGAAUAGGGUGAAGCCAGAGGAAACUCUGGUGGAGGCUCGUAGCGAUUCUGACGUGCAAAUCGAUCGUCAAAUUUGGGUAUAGGGGCGAAAGACUAAUCGAAC
rnacentral:rRNA from 1 species